UACGUAGGAGGCAAGCGUUGUCCGGAUUUACUGGGCGUAAAGAGCGUGUAGGCGGCAUGGCAAGUCUGCUGUGAAAGCUCUCGGCUUACCGGGAGAGUCGGUAGAACUGCCAAGCUUGAGGACGGGUAGAGGGGGGUGGAAUUCCCGGUGUAGUGGUGAAAUGCGUAGAUAUCAGGAGGAACACCGGUGGCGAAGGCGGCUACCUGGACAGAAACUGACGCUGAGGCGCGAAAGCUAGGGGGAGCAAACAGG
rnacentral:rRNA from 1 species